GAUUUACCGUUAGCACGCCUGAUCAUUUUCCAGUAACACCAUGGAAACCCAAUAAGAGGUUUAUUCCACUACAACUAUACUAGAGCGAUCUGUCAUCCAUCCAUUUUCUGUACCGCUUGUCUUACGCAGGAGCCUAUCACAGGGGACUCGGGGCAUGAGGCGGGGGACACCGUGGACAGGGUGCCAACACAUACACACUACGGACAAUUUUGAGAUGCCUAUCAACCUACAAAACAUGUCUUUGGACUGGUGGAGGAAACCCGGGAGAACAUGUGAGCUACGUGCACACAGGGUGGCAGCGGCGGUGGGAAUCGAACCCCAACCCUGGAGGUGCGAGGCGGACGUUCUAACCACUCCAGUCCAGCUCUGACGGAUCAGAACGGCACGGCAGUGCUUUAGUUGGAGAAGUUUGCCUAAAGAAGAAGUCCUUUCUAAAAACGUGUUACCUGAGGCUGACGAGCCAGGCACUCCAGGGCAAGAAAGUCCUCCUCGUUGUUCCUCUGAAUUAGGAAGCAGCUCUGGUCGUAGUCGCUGUGAAGGCAGUCAGCUGUCAGUCUGUGGCUUGAGCUUCCUGCCCAUGGUCGUGUCAGGUGCUGGAGACAUGGAGAAGGGCUGAGGAGGUCCUCCUCAAACCCAGAGUCACUGAGAGUGGACAUGCUCGCUCUGAUCUCAGUCCGUCUUUCUUUCACACUCUGACUUUUUUACAACCUCGCAAUCACAAGCCAUCCCAUUUGACUUUGUUGGACGGCGUGACGUGAGCUGGGACAUUUUCCCGGGUACCUUAGCGCGCAUUGCCUCCUCGUGCACGCGUCGCCGUGGCAACUCACCCCGGGGAACGUCGUAGCGUCCCAUAUGGUCGCUCCAAGACACGCCCACUGGCUGAGUAACCCAAACAAAGCACCUAGUGCACUAUGUAGCCUGCAAUAGCUGCUAUUUUACACGUAAUGGAGUGCGCUCGUACAGGGGGCAGGCAGCUAAUUAGGAUAUAACCUAGCAUCGCCGUUUCUGCCAGUCUACAUAGGACUAUACAUUGAAACGGAAAUCAGUUUGCACAGAAUUUGUAUGUUUUACACAUCAACACCACCCAGUCCAGGGUGUACCCCCACCUUGUGCCCGGUGCUCCCAGGGAUAGGCUCCAGGUUCCCCGUGACCCUGAAGGAUAAGCGGUAUAGAAGAUGGAUGGAUGGAUACAUCAACACUAAAGCUAACUUCAAUGAAGUUAAAAUGAAAGAAAUAAACAGCAUCCUCAUUUGCACGGAUUACACGCACACCUCUUGUCAAUUCAGGUCCACGAAUUUGAUUGGACAAGCAGCGUUCCAAGCGGCAGAUCUAUAUGUAUAACACUUUAAAUUCACUGUUCUAGCAAAAAUUCCAAUUCUAGCAAAUAUUCAUAACAUCGAAACUACACUUACUACGGACUGUCAGUCAGUCUCGACGUUGCAUGGCAACACACGAUGCUCUAUCCAGCUGUAGACUUGAGAACUUUACUUGCUGAAGGAGCAAAAUUUAACCAAAUAUUGGUGUCUGAAAUGUCAGUUGUACUCAAUAUCAGCAGGGAUGUGGUUCAACUGUACUUAAUCACAGCCGCUCUGAUAUUCAUUGCAACACCAUGAUUCCGAGUGUGAUAUUGCUUUUAUGCAACAGUUCU